GACGAACGCUGGCGGCGUGCUUAACACAUGCAAGUCGAGCGGUAAGGCCUCUUCGGAGGUACACGAGCGGCGAACGGGUGAGUAACACGUGGGUGACCUGCCCUCAGCUCUGGGAUAAGCCCGGGAAACUGGGUCUAAUACCGGAUACGACUUUCUCGCAUGGGGAGUUGUGGAAAGCCCUGGUCUUCAUCGGUUGGGGUGGGCUGGGGAGUGGGCCCGGCCGGCCGUACUCAGCUUGUUGGUGGGGGUGGAUGGCCGU
rnacentral:rRNA from 1 species